CCCCUCUCAGGAUCACACGUGGAGAGUUUCCAGAACUCUACCAGUCUCAGCUGUAGGAGGGAGAGUCAAGCAGAGUCAUACUCAUUCCAUUCCUAGCUUGGGCAGUGGCUAGUGAAUGGAAAGCAAUCUGCUACAAGC